GACGAACGCUGGCGGCGUGCCUAAUACAUGCAAGUCGAGCGCAGGAAACUGACGGAACUCUUCGGAGGGAAGGCAGCGGAAUGAGCGGCGGACGGGUGAGUAACACGUAAGGAACCUGCCUCAAGGAUUGGGAUAACUCCGAGAAAUCGGAGCUAAUACCGGAUAGUUCAACGGACCGCAUGGUCCGCUGAUGAAAGGCGCUCCGACGUCACCUUGAGAUGGCCUUGCGGUGCAUUAGCUAGUUGGUGGGGUAACGGCCCACCAAGGCGACGAUGCAUAGCCGACCUGAGAGGGUGAUCGGCCACACUGGGACUGAGACACGGCCCAGACUCCUACGGGAGGCAGCAGUAGGGAAUCUUCCACAAUGGACGAAAGUCUGAUGGAGCAACGCCGCGUGAGUGAUGAAGGUUUUCGGACCGUAAAACUCUGUUGUAAGGGAAGAACACGUACGAGAGGAAAUGCUCGUACCUUGACGGUACCUUACGAGAAAGCCACGGCUAACUACGUGCCAGCAGCCGCGGUAA
rnacentral:rRNA from 1 species